GCGGGAAAAGCUCAAAUUUAAAAUCUGGCGGUCUCUGGCCGUCCGAGUUGUAAUCUAGAGAAGUAAUGCCCGCGCUGGACCGUGUACAAGUCUCCUGGGAUGGAGCGUCAUAGAGGGUGAGAAUCCCGUCUCUGACACGGACUACCAGGGCUUUGUGGUAUGCUCUCAAAGAGUCGAGUUGUUUGGGAAUGCAGCUCAAAAUGGGUGGUAAAUUCCAUCUAAAGCUAAAUAUUGGCGAGAGACCGAUAGCGAACAAGUACCGUGAGGGAAAGAUGAAAAGAACUUUGGAAAGAGAGUUAAACAGUACGUGAAAUUGCUGAAAGGGAAACGCUUGAAGUCAGUCGCGUUGGCCAGGGAUCAGCCUCACUCUUGUGUGGUGUACUUUCUGGUUGACGGGUCAGCAUCAAUUUUGACCGCUGGAAAAAGGCCUGGGGAAUGUGGCAGCUUCGGCUGUGUUAUAGCCCCUAGUCACAUAUAGCGGUUGGGAUUGAGGAACUCAGCACGCCGCAAGGCCGGGUUUCGACCACGUUCGUGCUUAGGAUGCUGGCAUAAUGGCUUUAAGCGACCCGUCUUGAAACACGGACCAAGGAGUCUAACAUGCCUGCGAGUAUUUGGGUGGAAAACCCGAGUGCGUAAUGAAAGUGAAAGUUGAGAUCCCUGUCGUGGGGAGCAUCGACGCCCGGACCAGAACUUUUGGGACGGAUCCGCGGUAGAGCAUGUAUGUUGGGACCCGAAAGAUGGUGAACUAUGCCUGAAUAGGGUGAAGCCAGAGGAAACUCUGGUGGAGGCUCGUAGCGAUUCUGACGUGCAAAUCGAUCGUC
rnacentral:rRNA from 1 species